GGAGUUUGGACCGUGUCUCAGUUCCAAUGUGGGGGACCUUCCUCUCAGAACCCCUACUGAUCGCGGGCUUGGUGAGCCGUUACCUCACCAACUAUCUAAUCAGACGCGGGUCCAUCUUACACCGAUAAAUCUUUUCACACUAUAUCAUGCGAUACCGUGCGCUUAUGCGGUAUUAGCAGUCGUUUCCAACUGUUGUCCCCCUGUGUAAGGCAGGUUACCCACGCGUUACUCACCCGUCCGCCACUAAGUCAUCCCAAUUGAUUCUACUUUGAGCAAGCUCUCCAUUUCAUCGGGCGGGACGCUUCGUUCGACUUGCAUGUGCUAAGCACGCCGCCAGCGUUCAUC
rnacentral:rRNA from 1 species